UGUGACAGAAUAGUGUAAUAAAUUUAAGAUUUAUAAAAAAAGAUAUAACUUUCUUUAGAA
rnacentral:tRNA from 1 species